AUUGAACGCUGGCGGCAGGCCUAACACAUGCAAGUCGAACGGGUGGCGGACGGGUGAGUAAUGUCUGGGAAACUGCCUGAUGGAGGGGGAUAACUACUGGAACCGGUAGCUAAUACCGCAUACCAUCGGAUGUGCCCAGAUGGGAUUAGCUAGUCGGUGGGGUAACGGCUCACCUAGGCGACGAGCCCUAGCUGGUCUGAGAGGGUGACCAGCCACACUGGAACUGAGACACGGUCCAGACUCCUACGUGAGGCAGCAGUGGGGAAUAUUGCACAAUGGGCGAAAGCCUGAUAGAGCCAUGCCGCGUGUAUGAAGAAGGCCUUCGGGUUGUAAAGUACUGUCAGCGGGGAGGCGUUACCCGAAGAAGAAGCACCGGCUAACUCCGUGCCAGCAGCCGCGGUAAUUC
rnacentral:rRNA from 1 species